rnacentral:rRNA from 1 species
UACGUAGGGUGCAAGCGUUGUCCGGAAUUAUUGGGCGUAAAGGGCUCGUAGGCGGUCCAUCGCGUCGGGAGUGAAAAGCUGGGGCUUAACCCCAGUCCUGCUUCCGAUACGGGUGGACUAGAGGUAGGUAGGGGAGAUCGGAAUUCCUGGUGUAGCGGUGAAAUGCGUUGAUAUCAUCAGGAACACCGGAGGCGAAGGCGGCUCACUGGGGGUCUUCUGACGCUGAGGAACGAAAGCCAGGGGAGCGAACGGG